rnacentral:lncRNA from 13 species
UGCAAAGAAGGAGAAAAAUGAAGUAGGGAUGAAACUCUGAGGCUUUCAGAGACAGGAGGUGCUGUGCCAAGGCCACACCAUUGGUUGCACAGAAUUCAAAAAGUGGAAGGCUGAAUAAAAAAUAAGGAAUUUAUGGUCUAAUUAUCCUUACUACAUAUUUGGAUGACUGAUUAAAA